CGUGAAUUUCAAACAUCCGGCAACGUCUUACCAUUUGUCGUACGCCAUCGCUGGAAAACUAAAACCUUUUUUUGUUUCUUGAGUAGAUUUAAUAAUUACACGCUGUAUCCGCGUGGUUUAGUUUUAGUUGGAUUAAAGUCGUAUGAAAAAUGCUGUGAGGCUCUAAAUUGUGGCGAUACUCGAUAAUGCUGAAGAGAAAACUGUCAAUAUAAUUUCAGUUAACUGCCUCAAUUCCUAGUGUUAUAAAUUCCAUGUCAACAAAAAUGAGUGCUUUUUGGUCAACUCCUCCCGGGCAGAAUGCCCAAUCUCAACAAAUCUUGAAUCAAGCACGAAACUUGGGGAUGACUUCAGCCAUCAGCAUGGCAAUGCCAAAACCUCUGGAUUUACAAAAGACUACAGAGUUAAGUGAAGCUUUGGUCCCACAUGGAGUCUCUGAGACUGAUGAAGAGCUCAAUCAUAGGAUGGAAGUUUUGAGGAAAGUGAAUGAAUUGGCCAAAGAAUGGAUUAAAGAAGUGUCUGUACAAAAAAACAUGCCAACAUCAGCAGCCGACCAUGUUGGAGGGAAAAUUUACACAUUUGGUUCUUAUCGUUUAGGUGUCCACAACAAAGGUGCAGAUAUUGAUGCUCUUUGUGUUGCCCCACGUCAUGUUGACAGAGUUGAUUAUUUCACCUCUUUUGUUGACCUGUUAAAAAAACAACCAGAAGUUACUGAACUCAGAGCUGUGGAAGAGGCUUUUGUGCCUGUUAUCAAAAUGAAUUUUGAUGGAAUUGAGUUGGAUAUGUUGUUUGCUAGAUUGGCUUUGAAAGAAAUUCCUGAUAACAUGGAUUUAAAAGACGAUAUGCUUCUGAAGAAUUUAGACCCCAAGUGUGUUCGUAGUUUGAACGGGUGUCGUGUGACAGAUGAGAUUCUCCGACUAGUUCCAAAUAUCGACAAUUUUCGUUUGGCUCUCAGAGCAAUUAAAUUAUGGGCAAAAAAACAUGGAAUUUACAGUAACGUUUUGGGUUACUUGGGAGGUGUCUCCUGGGCCAUGUUGGUUGCACGAACGUGCCAACUGUAUCCAAAUGCUGCAGCAGCCACUUUGGUUCAAAAAUUUUUUCUCGUCUUUUCAAAAUGGGAGUGGCCUCAGCCAGUUCUUUUAAAACCUCCAGACAAUGUCAAUCUAAAUUACCCUGUGUGGGAUCCACGAGUCAACGUAUCCGAUCGGUAUCACCUGAUGCCAAUCAUCACACCAGCCUACCCUCAGCAGAAUUCCACCUUUAAUGUUUCCUGCUCAACGCGUGCUGUGAUGCAAGAGGAAUUUCGUCAGGGUUUUAACAUGACGGAAGAAAUCAUGACUGGAAAGGCUUCAUGGGACAAACUUUUCGAGCCUCCCAAUUUUUUUGUCAAAUACAAGCAUUUUAUCGUUUUGAUUGCCAGUUCUUCCAGUGUCGAAGAUCAACUUGAAUGGGUCGGACUAGUGGAAUCCAAAAUUCGACAUCUGAUUUUAGCACUAGAACGUAACGACCAUAUCACGUUGGCGCACAUAAAUCCUGAACAAUACGACCCCGUUCAGCCGGAGCCAGAUACUAUCAGUACCAUGUGGUUUAUUGGACUAGUGUUCAAAAAGACGGAAAGCCUCAACAUUGAUCUUACUCAGGACAUUCAAGCUUUCACCGGCCAAGUGCACCGUCAAGCAUCAACAGCCAAAACCGUCAAGGAUGGACGUCGGAUUGACGCUAAACACGUGAAAAGGAAACAGCUGAGUUCAUAUUUGCCGUCCACUUUUCUACUUCGCACCAAGCGUGUGGGAGGAAUGUCCUUGUCGACUUCAACUGGCAGUUUAUCCAACGGAACGCCUCCAGUGGCAACGUUUGCACAGCCGAGAAAGAGGCCGUCGGAUGCAGCUCUCGAUGCCGUCAUGAUGAAGAAAGUCAGAACAAGAGAAUCUGCUGACGGGACGAGGAACUUGGAGGGCGACGAGUGUCGCAGUCCAUUCGUUAUCAAUUCCAAUGACGAUUCGUGUUCUUCACUAUCUGUGGAUGACGUUCAAAACCCCUUCCCGGUCCCUGUCGAAGAAGUGCAACCCACCGAAGACGCUAAUGAUAAGUCAACGAUGGCAGCCAAUCAACAGGACACGUCACUGAAGGAUGAUAAUCCUCCUCCUCAACGACAUUGAGGGCUUGGUACCGGCAACCACUGAAGAUGAAACCUUCGCUUUACCUCUGGGGCCUGUUAAAAGACCGACUAACUUAACAUUGAGACGUAUGAGGCUGUGUAGCGAUGAAUUGCCAGAUGUCACGACGCCUUCACCCCGGGAGCCUCAUCCGACUCAUCCCACCAUCAGAU
rnacentral:misc_RNA from 1 species